AUGAUCCAUGUCCUCGACGUCGACGGAGCGAUGGUGCUGGACCAUGCGGGGAAAGCGGCGGCCCUGCUCUCUUUCUUCUUCGAGCUGCUGGGCAGGGCUCGCCCCUCUGUGUGGUGUUUAGACCUUGCGGCUCUCUACCGCAAUGCUGCGCGGGUGGACGCGGCUGCCCUGGCCUCGCCAUUCUCGUCCAGUGAGAUCAAGGAGGCGGCGAACCUCCUCGACCGGACUAGCGCGCCCGGACCGGAUGACCUCGGCCCCGCGUUCUACCAGGCAUCCUGGAGUGUUGUCGCGGGAGACUUGCAGCGGCUUUUUGACACGGUCCAUGCUGGGACCGCGGACCUCGACGCCAUCAACCAUGCAUACAUCGCCCUGCUACCCAAGGGUGGGGGCGUGCCGAUGCCGGUUGCUUUCCGUUGGGUCUCCCUACAGAACGAGGACAUAAAAAUCCUCCGCCAUGGCCUCACCUCGAGGUUGCAGAAGCAAAUCGGGGGCAUCAUCGACAUCGACCAGUCCGGGUUCUUGGCGGGGAGGAGCAUCUCCGAGAACUUCGUGUAUGCCGCCGAGGUGAUCCAGUGCUGCCACAAGCGGGGCGCGCCUGCCCUCAUGUUUAAGCUGGACUUCACCAAGGCGUUCGACUCGGUCGAUUGGGGGGCGCUAUGCCAGAUCCUCAUGGUGCGCAGAUUCCCAGACCGAUGGUGUGCCUGGAUGGACUUGAUCUUUGGGUCCUCCCGAUCGGCGGUGCUGCUGAACGGCGUGCCCGGAAAGUGGUUCACGAUGUGCCGUGGGCUGCGGCAGGGUGACCCAUGCUCGCCCUACCUCUUCCUCAUCAUCGCCGAUGUGCUGCAGCACAUGAUCAGAUAG
rnacentral:rRNA from 1 species